rnacentral:rRNA from 1 species
ACUCCCAAACCCCAUGUGAACAUACCUGUUUCGUUCCCUCGGCGGUGUCCGGCAACGGCCCGCCAGAGGACCCAACAAACUCUUUUGAAUUUUUCAGUAUCUUCUGAGUAAAACAAACAAUAAAUCAAAACUUUCAACAACGGAUCUCUUGGUUCUGGCAUCGAUGAAGAACGCAGCGAAAUGCGAUAAGUAAUGUGAAUUGCAGAAUUCAGUGAAUCAUCGAAUCUUUGAACGCACAUUGCGCCCGCCAGUAUUCUGGCGGGCAUGCCUGUUCGAGCGUCAUUUCAACCCUCAAGCUCUGCUUGGUGUUGGGGAUCGGCAAGGCGUCCUCCGGGUCGCGCCGUCCCCCAAAUAUAGUGGCGGUCUCGCUGUAGCUUCCUCUGCGUAGUAAUACACCUCGCUCUGGAGUCUCGGUGCGGCCACGCCGUAAAACCCCCAACUUUUUUCUGGUUGACCUCGAAUCAGGUAGGACUACCCGCUGAACUUAAGCAUAUCAAUAAGCGGAGGAAAAGAAACCAACAGGGAUUGCCCUAGUAACGGCGAGUGAAGCGGCAACAGCUCAAAUUUGAAAUCUGGCCCUCGGGUCCGAGUUGUAAUUUGUAGAGGAUGCUUUUGGUGAGGUACCUUCCGAGUUCCCUGGAACGGGACGCCAUAGAGGGUGAGAGCCCCGUCUGGUUGGAUACCAAACCUCUGUAAAGCUCCUUCGACGAGUCGAGUAGUUUGGGAAUGCUGCUCUAAAUGGGAGGUAUAUGUCUUCUAAAGCUAAAUACCGGCCAGAGACCGAUAGCGCACAAGUAGAGUGAUCGAAAGA